rnacentral:rRNA from 1 species
UACGUAGGUGGCAAGCAUUAUCCGGAUUUACUGGGCGUAAAGGGUGCGUAGGCGGAUUUUUAAGUGAGAUGUGAAAUACCCGGGCUCAACCUGGGGGCUGCAUUUCAAACUGGAAAUCUAGAGUGCAGGAGAGGAAAGUGGAAUUCCUAGUGUAGCGGUGAAAUGCGUAGAGAUUAGGAAGAACACCAGUGGCGAAGGCGACUUUCUGGACUGUAACUGACGCUGAGGCACGAAAGCGUGGGGAGCAAACAGGAUUAGAUACCCUGGUAGUCCACGCCGUAAACGAUGGAUACUAGGUGUGGGAGGUUUAACUCCUUCCGUGCCGCCGUUAACACAUUAAGUAUCCCGCCUGGGGAGUACGGUCGCAAGAUUAAA